CAGCCGCCGCGGGAAUACGUAGGUGGCAAGCGUUGUCUGGAAUUAUUGGGCGUAAAGGGCUCGCAGGCGGUUUCUUAAGUCUGAUGUGAAAGCCCCCGGCUCAACCGGGGAGGGUCAUUGGAAACUGGGAAACUUGAGUGCAGAAGAGGAGAGUGGAAUUCCACGUGUAGCGGUGAAAUGCGUAGAGAUGUGGAGGAACACCAGUGGCGAAGGCGACUCUCUGGUCUGUAACUGACGCUGAGGAGCGAAGGCGUGGGGAGCGAACAGGAUUAGAGACCCCCGUAGUCCCUGUCUCUUAUAC
rnacentral:rRNA from 1 species